GUAGAGUAGGCAUCAUGCGUUAAGUGCCGCGCGUACGGGAUGUUGACCGCGGACGAAGGCCGGAAGCUUUUUUUAUGACAAAUGCUUCGGCCGCGAUAUGAUGCCGCUUCCGCUGC
rnacentral:ncRNA from 1 species